rnacentral:rRNA from 1 species
GAUGAACGCUGGCGGCGUGCUUAACACAUGCAAGUCGAACGGAAAGGCUCCUGCUUGCAGGGGUACUCGAGUGGCGAACGGGUGAGUAACACGUGGGUGAUCUGCCCUGCACUUCGGGAUAAGCCUGGGAAACUGGGUCUAAUACCGGAUAGGACGAUGGUUUGGAUGCCAUUGUGGAAAGUUUUUCGGUGUGGGAUGGGCUCGCGGCCUAUCAGCUUGUUGGUGGGGUAAUGGCCUACGAAGGCGUCGACGGGUAGCCGGCCUGAGAGGGUGUACGGCCACAUUGGGACUGAGAUACGGCCCAGACUCCUACGGGAGGCAGCAGUGGGGAAUAUUGCACAAUGGGCGCAAGCCUGAUGCAGCGACGCCGCGUGGGGGAUGACGGCCUUCGGGUUGUAAACUCCUUUCGCUAGGGACGAAGCGCAAGUGACGGUACCUGGAGAAGAAGCACCGGCUAACUACGUG